rnacentral:lncRNA from 1 species
GCAGUUUUUUUUUUUAAAUCAGUCACUCAUCAUGUGGUUUAUUAUUUUCAGUGGAUUGUUUUGUAUACUUGCAAAAAGGACUGAAGGUGUAAUGGUGCAACCUACUGUUACCCAUUAUGAAAGAGGUUCGGUAUCUAAUAUGAACAUGGCAGAAAAUUGACACGAUUAGAACAAACUGUUGCUGAGCUCCAAACGAAAAUGAAUUCCUUAAAUGACUAUGGUAAGUACAGAAAAGGUAAAGAGCAACAGGCAAAAUUAAAUCGAUUAUAAGUAUCGUUAAACUUAUAUUAUAAUGAAAUUUAAUUGUAUUAAAAUGUAUUUUAUUAUCAAACAUUUAAAAGAAAACGUCCCUUUUCUGCGAUUCUUUCUUUAUUAUAUUGUACACGUUGAACCAAAUGUUUAAACUUUGUAAUUUAAAUGUAAAAAGGUAAAAAAAAAAAAAUAGUUAAAUUUUUUUCUUGGUAAGUAAGCUUAAGAAUACUACUUAUUUGAUUACGCCGUUUUAGGAUCUCAUGCAUCUUGGGCAAUCUUUUAAAAAAUGUACAUUAAACAACGUGAUUGGUUAAAAAUGUUAUAAACAAUGGAAAUUCAACCAAUGACGUUAUUUUGAUUUUUUCAGUUUGUUUUACUGUGACAAGAAUCAGCGGAUGGAUACCACCUGGUUCUAUUAUCCCGUUCAGGCACAUCAAAACAAGUUAUGGCGUCACAAAUCGAAUCAAUUUGACGUUUUAAAGCAGAACAACCUGGUCCUUAUGUUUUGGGAGUUACAGUUUUCACACAAGAGGAUGGUUAUUAUCAAAUAUGCAAAAACGACGUAAUGAUAAGCGAGGUGUUCGUAGAGUUUUAUGAAAAAUCUGGAACUAGUUUUAUUGUGAUUGAGCUUGCUGUUGGAAGCAUCAUCAGUGUAAAAACUGCGAGAUUUAAAUUGUUUGUCAGACCAUUUUCUACUUUGACUGUAGCAAAAAUAAAGUAACAAUGUUUACGUUGUUGAUGAUACUACAAUGUCAUUUUUACUUUUCUGCAAAUUAAAGAAUUUUGCAUAG